rnacentral:misc_RNA from 1 species
GGGGGGUCUAUUGAAUUGAGGGGACUGUGUUACAUUUUGUUGUAUCAAUGCCAUUUGAUUCUGCAUUCAUACUGGUGGCCUGUUGGAAGCUCACAAUUGCUGUGGUGACCCUCCAGAUUUGGGGCAAAAAGGAAUUCUGUUCUGUUCUGUCAUCUCUGUGGUUCAACCAUUUCUUUUUAGUAGGGAUAUUUGUAGCAGAAGAGUGAUUGGUGAUGCUUUUCCUAAAUAUAUAUUUUUUUUUCUUUCAAUUUUCUUUUCUUUUUUGAAGGUUUUUUUUUCCCCUGAGAACAUUAAUGUUAAUAUUUAUUGUAUGCGAAAUAUUAGUGUCAGUUUUUUCGGUCAUAAACUUGGUAUGGAAUUUAAAUCUUAAUACUC